UAUCAUAUCAUUUUUCAUUAUUU
rnacentral:snRNA from 1 species